rnacentral:rRNA from 1 species
UACGGAGGGUGCAAGCGUUGUCCGGAAUCACUGGGCGUAAAGGGCGCGUAGGCGGCCCGGUAAGUAGGGGGUGAAAUCCUGCGGCUUAACCGCAGGGCUGCCUUCUAAACUGUCGGGCUCGAGCACGGUAGAGGCAGAUGGAAUUCCCGGUGUAGCGGUGGAAUGCGUAGAGAUCGGGAAGAACACCGGUGGCGAAGGCGGCGCUCUGGGCCGGAACUGACGCUGAGGAGCGAAAGCGUGGGGAGCAAACAGG